rnacentral:rRNA from 1 species
UACGAACUGUGCAAACGUUAUUCGGAAUCACUGGGCUUAAAGGGUGCGUAGGCGGCUUGUUAAGUAGGGUGUGAAAGCCCCGGGCUCAACCUGGGAAUUGCAUUUGAGACUGCGUAGCUAGGGUGCGGAAGAGGGAAGCGGAAUUUCCGGUGUAGCGGUGAAAUGCGUAGAUAUCGGAAGGAACACCAGUGGCGAAAGCGGCUUCCUGGUCCAGCACCGACGUUCAGGCACGAAAGCGUGGGGAGCAAACAGG